rnacentral:rRNA from 1 species
GUUAAGCGACUAAGCGUACACGGUGGAUGCCCUGGCAGUCAGAGGCGAUGAAGGACGUGCUAAUCUGCGAUAAGCGUCGGUAAGGUGAUAUGAACCGUUAUAACCGGCGAUUUCCGAAUGGGGAAACCCAGUGUGAUUCGUCACACUAUCAUUAACUGAAUCCAUAGGUUAAUGAGGCGAACCGGGGGAACUGAAACAUCUAAGUACCCCGAGGAAAAGAAAUCAACCGAGAUUCCCCCAGUAGCGGCGAGCGAACGGGGAGCAGCCCAGAGCCUGAAUCAGU